UUCUCCGAGGUCCCCCAGAGAGCCGGCCAGUGUUCUCCCUGCUGAUGGUCACUUGUGUCAGCCCUGGCCACAGCUGAGUCAUUAGGAGAGCAGGUUAAACUUCCAGAUUCCAGGUGGUCCCCAGGGAAGUCUGUUAGUUGCGACAGACCCAGGAAUCCACACUAAUACACUCCAGGCUGCCCACCAGGUUUCUGGAAACAUCCUGUCCCGGCUGUCUCCCUGAGAGUGCAGGGGCUGUCGUGGGAGGAGUCCGCAGCCCCUGCCAAUGGGAGGCGCGUGACGGCCUCCGGGUAGAGCGCAUCCCAGGCCGGCAGGCUGGAGGUGGGCAGGAGCUGUGCCCUGUUGUCGCCAGUGAUGUGAUGGGCUUCUUGGGAAAUGCCCUGAAGAGGGUCUCAUGCCAUCAGGCCCCUCUCGCUCUGCCUCACGCAUAUUACUGCCAGACUCACACCCUCGCCUUCUGUCUCUCCUUCUUCAAAUACGUCAGGCCCACUGCUUCCUCCUUGCUGUUCCCACGGCCUGGAAUGCCUUCCCCUCAGGUCUUCACCAGGUCGCUUCUCCAUCCUGGUCUCAGCUCACAUGUCAGCUGCUCAGACCAGCCUCCCCGACCCAGCCAACCCACUCCCUGCCCCGUGGUUCUCUACCUGAGCCGGCCUCCGUGGCUUCUUGGCCGGCCCCCAAACCAGAGAUCUGUACUGUUUACGUAUGGCCCCCCACGCCCCAGCCCACUGGAGGUCAGCUCCUCGGUGUCGGGACCUCAUCAGUCUGUACCCCCAGCAGCCCAGCACAACGUCUGGCACACGGCGGGCACCUGGGAGAUUUGUUGGCUGAGUGAAUGAACGAGUAUCACGCCUACGUCAGCACGCGUGCCCCAUGCGUCAGGGGAAAGAGCGUGGAAUUGGGGGCGUGCAGCUUUCCACACCCCAGCUCGGCGCUUGCCCCUGGGCCUCUCUGAGCCUCUGUGAGGUGGCUGUGCCCCAGCCUACCAGGCAGGGUAACGUCGGAGCUAGAGACGGUGUGCGUGAGGCUCUGGAGGGCAGUGAGUGGGCCGGUGAGGCUGGGGUUUAUUAUGACAGGGAUAAGGAGGAAAGCAGGCCUUCAGUGUCUGUGGCCCCAGCAGAACCUGCCCGUCCGCGGUUCAUUAACUCAGCAGGUAUUCAUUCAGGUAGCUCUUUGCUGCACUAGACAGUAUUCGGGGAGCUGGGGGUUCAGCGGGGACCAAAGCCCCUGCCCUCAUCCGGCUCACCCCUUCGCGGAGCCAGUAGGCCAGGAGUAGGAUACAUCA